AUACGUAGGGGGCGAGCGUUGUCCGGAAUGAUUGGGCGUAAAGGGCGCGUAGGCGGCCCGGUAAGUCUGGAGUGAAAGUCCUGUUUUUAAGAUGGGAAUUGCUUUGGAUACUGUCGGGCUUGAGUGCAGGAGAGGUAAGUGGAAUUCCCAGUGUAGCGGUGAAAUGCGUAGAGAUUGGGAGGAACACCAGUGGCGAAGGCGACUUACUGGACUGUAUCUGACGCUGAGGCGCGAAAGUGUGGGGAGCAAACAGGAUUAGAUACCCUGGUAGUCCACACUGUAAACGAUGAAUCUAGGUGUAGGGGGUAUCGACCCCUUCUGUGCCGCAGUCAACACAAUAAGCAUUCCGCCUGGGGAGUACGGCCGCAAGGUUGAAACUCAAAGGAAUUGACGGGG
rnacentral:rRNA from 1 species